UGGGGAAUCUUCCGCAAUGGACGAAAGUCUGACGGAGCAACGCCGCGUGAGUGAAGAAGGUUUUCGGAUCGUAAAACUCUGUCUUUUGGGGCGAACGUGAGUAUGGUGAACAAUCAUAGUCAGUGACGGUACCAAAGGAGGAAGCCACGGCUAACUACGUGCCAGCAGCCGCGGUAAUACGUAGGUGGCAAGCGUUGUCCGGAAUUAUUGGGCGUAAAGAGCGCGUAGGCGGGAUAGUCAGUCUGUUGUAAAGUGCGGGGCUCAACCCCGUGAUGGCAAUGGAAACAGCUAUUCUUGAGUGCAGGAGAGGAAAGUGGAAUUCCCAGUGUAGCGGUGAAAUGCGUAGAUAUUGGGAGGAACACCAGUGGCGAAGGCGACUUUCUGGACUGUGUCUGACGCUGAGGCGCGAAAGCCAGGGGAGCGAACGGGAUUAGAUACCCCGGUAGUCCUGGCCGUAAACCGAUGGGUACUAGGUGUGGGAGGUAUCGACCCCCUUUCCGUGCCGGAGUUAACGCAAUAAGUACCCCCGCCUGGGGAGUACGGUCGCAAGACUGAAACUCAAAGGAAUUGACGGGGGUCAUAGCUGUUUCCUG
rnacentral:rRNA from 1 species